AAAUUGAAGAGUUUGAUCAUGGCUCAGAUUGAACGCUGGCGGCAGGCCUAACACAUGCAAGUCGAACGGUAACAGGAAGCAGCUUGCUGCUUUGCUGACGAGUGGCGGACGGGUGAGUAAUGUCUGGGAAACUGCCUGAUGGAGGGGGAUAACUACUGGAAACGGUAGCUAAUACCGCAUAACGUCGCAAGACCAAAGAGGGGGACCUUCGGGCCUCUUGCCAUCGGAUGUGCCCAGAUGGGAUUAGCUAGUAGGUGGGGUAACGGCUCACCUAGGCGACGAUCCCUAGCUGGUCUGAGAGGAUGACCAGCCACACUGGAACUGAGACACGGUCCAGACUCCUACGGGAGGCAGCAGUGGGGAAUAUUGCACAAUGGGCGCAAGCCUGAUGCAGCCAUGCCGCGUGUAUGAAGAAGGCCUUCGGGUUGUAAAGUACUUUCAGCGGGGAGGAAGGGAGUAAAGUUAAUACCUUUGCUCAUUGACGUUACCCGCAGAAGAAGCACCGGCUAACUCCGUGCCAGCAGCCGCGGUAAUACGGAGGGUGCAAGCGUUAAUCGGAAUUACUGGGCGUAAAGCGCACGCAGGCGGUUUGUUAAGUCAGAUGUGAAAUCCCCGGGCUCAACCUGGGAACUGCAUCUGAUACUGGCAAGCUUGAGUCUCGUAGAGGGGGGUAGAAUUCCAGGUGUAGCGGUGAAAUGCGUAGAGAUCUGGAGGAAUACCGGUGGCGAAGGCGGCCCCCUGGACGAAGACUGACGCUCAGGUGCGAAAGCGUGGGGAGCAAACAGGAUUAGAUACCCUGGUAGUCCACGCCGUAAACGAUGUCGACUUGGAGGUUGUGCCCUUGAGGCGUGGCUUCCGGAGCUAACGCGUUAAGUCGACCGCCUGGGGAGUACGGCCGCAAGGUUAAAACUCAAAUGAAUUGACGGGGGCCCGCACAAGCGGUGGAGCAUGUGGUUUAAUUCGAUGCAACGCGAAGAACCUUACCUGGUCUUGACAUCCACGGAAGUUUUCAGAGAUGAGAAUGUGCCUUCGGGAACCGUGAGACAGGUGCUGCAUGGCUGUCGUCAGCUCGUGUUGUGAAAUGUUGGGUUAAGUCCCGCAACGAGCGCAACCCUUAUCCUUUGUUGCCAGCGGUCCGGCCGGGAACUCAAAGGAGACUGCCAGUGAUAAACUGGAGGAAGGUGGGGAUGACGUCAAGUCAUCAUGGCCCUUACGACCAGGGCUACACACGUGCUACAAUGGCGCAUACAAAGAGAAGCGACCUCGCGAGAGCAAGCGGACCUCAUAAAGUGCGUCGUAGUCCGGAUUGGAGUCUGCAACUCGACUCCAUGAAGUCGGAAUCGCUAGUAAUCGUGGAUCAGAAUGCCACGGUGAAUACGUUCCCGGGCCUUGUACACACCGCCCGUCACACCAUGGGAGUGGGUUGCAAAAGAAGUAGGUAGCUUUUCGGGAGGGCGCUUACCACUUUGUGAUUCAUGACUGGGGUGAAGUCGUAACAAGGUAACCGUAGGGGAACCUGCGGUUGGAUCACCUCCUUA
rnacentral:rRNA from 1 species